UAACCAUGUUGUGGACAUGAAUUUAUGAGAUCCUUAAAUCGUUCACAACAUUAGAAGAAGGUCUCAUCUUCUUUUUACAUAAAAUUCAUGAUUGUUUUUCUUAAGGUA